rnacentral:rRNA from 1 species
UACGUAGGGUGCAAGCGUUGUCCGGAAUUAUUGGGCGUAAAGAGCUCGUAGGCGGUUUGUCGCGUCUGCUGUGAAAUCCCGAGGCUCAACCUCGGGUCUGCAGUGGGUACGGGCAGACUAGAGUUCGGUAGGGGAGACUGGAAUUCCUGGUGGUAGCGGUGAAAUGCGCAGAUAUCAGGAGGAACACCGGUGGCGAAGGCGGGUCUCUGGGCCGAGUACUGACGCUGAGGAGCGAAAGCGUGGGGAGCGAACAGG